rnacentral:rRNA from 1 species
GACGAACGCUGGCGGCGUGCUUAACACAUGCAAGUCGAGCGGUAAGGCCUCUUCGGGGGUACACGAGCGGCGAACGGGUGAGUAACACGUGAGCAAUCUGCCCUUCACACGGGGAUAACCACCGGAAACGGUGGCUAAUACCCGAUACGACCACUUCAGGCAUCUGAUGGUGGUGGAAAGUUCCGGCGGUGGAGGAUGAGCUCGCGGCCUAUCAGCUUGUUGUUGGGGUAACGGCCUACCAAGGCAACGACGGGUAGCCGGCCUGAGAGGGUGACCGGCCACACUGGGACUGAGACACGGCCCAGACUCCUACGGGAGGCAGCAGUGGGGAAUAUUGGACAAUGGGCGAAAGCCUGAUCCAGCAACGCCGCGUGAGGGAUGACGGCCUUCGGGUUGUAAACCUCUUUCAGCAGGGACGAAGCGCAAGUGACGGUACCUGCAGAAGAAGCACCGGCCAACUACGUGCCAGCAGCCGCCGUAACAC